AAUAACUAUACAUGCAUUAUACUUGUGUGUCUGUCGCAGUGUGUUCAGUAAUACUAUAUAGACAUACCUCAAUUUUCAUUUCCUAUAUUGUACAAAUAUAGCACAGGGUUGUGCCUUAUUAUAGGUGUACUUUAGAUUGUGUAUCAUUCAGAUGUGAGUGUAAGAUCAGCUUUAUAUGUAUAACAAAAUUAAAGUUUUUGCAGAUCAAAUGUUACAUAAAGCAACUGUUAUGCGGCCUUCACUAUUGUCAUAGUCAGGGCAUAUUGCAUGGGGAUAUUAAAGGUUCCAACCUUUUGCUAGACCACAAUGGACAAUUAAAGAUAGCAGACUUUGGUUUAGCAAACUAUUACGAUCCAGAGCAAUUUCGCCCACUUACAAAUCGUGUAGUUACCCUUUGGUGUAGAAUAUAAAACUGAUUAUUAUUAAUUCUUGUUCCUCUAAAAAAGAGAUUACAUCCAUAUUUAUAACAAACGUACUUGACUCCUAACAAUACUCUGCUACUUCUAAUAAAUCUCCUAAAAUAAGAUAGACUCAAUACCUCCUACAAACUCUCUAUAACUCCAACAAUCAUCCAACUACUACAAUCUAAAAUUAAUCCUCAAAAUAAAUAACUAAACAAAUAAUAAUAAUAAAUAAAUUUAAGAUUAUUCCAACAAUCACCCCCAUAAUCUUAAAUUUACUUAAGAGAAUUUAUGAAGCACUUCUCUUCAUCUUGUGAUGCACUUCUCACCACCAUCAAUUUUGUUGAUGCACUUCUCAUCAACAUCAUUUUGUUGAUGCACUUCUCAUUAACGCCAAAUUCAUUGUUGAUGCACUUCUCAUCAACACCAAAUUCACUAGAGCACUUCUCUCCAGGUACCCAUAAUCACCCAUAAUUCAAAAAAAAAAUUCUCCCUCUAUUCCGUCAUAAAAAACACAAGAUCCAUCUCGUUCUACAUGGCCUUUGGCCACUAUAUCUCAUUUUCCGCCUUCAGUAGGCUUCUCCGGCAUCUCCUCGUAUUUCUCGGCAGCCCCAUACUACACAUGCAUCCCACACUACACAUGCAGCUUUACCACCAUCCUUCUGCAACGCCUACAUGAAACUAUCUCGUCAAACCCUCACUAUGUGCCUCCACCACUAGCUGCGGCUUCACCACCGCCUGGUGGCGGAACAACAAAACCUCGCUCUGAUACCAAGUGUAGAAUAUAAAACUGAUUAUUAUUAAUUCUUGUUCCUCUAAAAAAGAGAUUACAUCCAUAUUUAUAACAAACGUACUUGACUCCUAACAAUACUGUGCUACUUCUAAUAAAUCUCCUAAAAUAAGAUAGACUCAAUACCUUCUACAAACUCUCUAUAACUCCAACAAUCAUCCAACUACUACAAUCUAAAAUUAAUCCUCAAAAUAAAUAACUAAACAAAUAAUAAUAAUAAAUAAAUUUAAGAUUAUUCCAACAUUUGGUAUCGCCCACCUGAGCUCUUGCUUGGUGCCAAUUCUUAUGGCACUGCUAGGUAUGUGGGGUGCUGGUUGUAUUCUUGCUGAGUUAUAUACAGGACAACCUAUUUUUUCC
rnacentral:lncRNA from 1 species